UACAGAGGUCUCAAGCGUUGUUCGGAUUCAUUGGGCGUAAAGGGUGCGUAGGCGGUGGGGCAAGUCAGGUGUGAAAUCCCGGAGCUCAACUCCGGAACUGCACUUGAUACUGCUUUACUAGAGUACUGGAGAGGAGACCGGAAUUUACGGUGUAGCAGUGAAAUGCGUAGAUAUCGUAAGGAAGACCAGUGGCGAAGGCGAGUCUCUGGACAGUUACUGACGCUGAGGCACGAAGGCCAGGGGAGCAAACGGG
rnacentral:rRNA from 1 species